UGGAUGCCGCCCCCAAUCUUCAUUUUGAAAAGAAGGUUCGAAUCCCGCAACAUGUUUCUUUUAAUCGUAUGAAAAGCCGUGCACCCUGAUCAGAGGACUCAGAAUUGAAGGCGAGUGGUACAAGAGAUAGAGAAAGACCGUAGGGGAGGGGUUGUUAAAAUGGAAGAAAGCUACCAUUAAGGUCUUCAUCAUUUUCUGUACUUUCCUCGUCUUCCACCAUGAUGGAUAAUUUCUGCUUUUUCAAAAAAAAAAAAGUUUCCAAAUAAGUGUCUAAUCUGUUGAGGAGAAAGCCAUUCGAUGUCGCAACAUAAAGGAUCUCAAGUUGUGUAGCAAAAUCGAAUUUGUCGGAGCGGAUCAAAGACAUAUCAGAUUGAGCUGCAUUAAGGUAUCCGAUCCAUAUUAUCAAUAUUGAGUAGUAUUUUUUUUUUUAUAGUAUAUGAAUAAUUGAUUAAAACAACAUAUUAAAUAUCUGACAAUAAUUUGAAAUUUUUUUCAUGAUUUUUAACUAAAAAAUGUGUAAUAUUUCAUAUAUAUUUUAUAUACCGCACAUGUAGUGUCCUUUUCUAUAGUAAAAAUGUGUGACGUAUUAUAGCAAUUUCAAACUGCUUAUUAGAUAUCUGUCCAGUUUUGAAUACAUUGAUUUAAAACCAUAUAUUUACAUGUACAUGUUUUUUGAGGCGAUCGUCAGAGGUACCCUACUUAGAAUAGAUCUACAAGAAGUAUAUGCUUAGCUUCACUAUUAACACUGUUUUCUUGAUGAGU